rnacentral:rRNA from 1 species
AUACGGAGGGUGCAAGCGUUGUUCGGAAUCACUGGGCGUAAAGGGCCCGCAGGCGGUUUGGUAAGUCAGAUGUGAAAGCCCACGGCUCAACCGUGGAAGUGCAUUUGAAACUGUCAGACUUGAGUACUAGAGGGGAAAGUGGAAUUCCCGGUGUAGAGGUGAAAUUCGUAGAUAUCGGGAGGAAUACCGGUGGCGAAGGCGACUUUCUGGCUAGAUACUGCCGCUGAGGCGCGAAAGCGUGGGGAGCAAACAGGAUUAGAAACCCUAGUAGUCC